CAAAAACAUAGCCAACAGAAAAAAUUAAUGUUAGUGAAACCUGCUCCAUGAAAAUAGCUGCGGUAACCGUGACCGUACUAAGGUAGCAUAAUAAAUCGUCUAUUAAUUGUAGAAUAGAAUGAAGGUCAAACGAAAAUUCAACUGUCUCAAAAAACACUUGUGAAAAUAAAAAGUGUGUGAAUAUACACACACAAACGGCAAGACGAUAAGACCCUACGAACUUAAUAAUACGUUUCGUUGGGGCAACGACCUUAAAAAAGUAACUAAGGUAAAACCCAUUAAACAAUUAAUGCAAUAAAAUAAAAGUUCCGUAGGGAUAACAGCGUAAUAAUAUUUCAAGAAAAACAACCUUAAAUAAAGAUUGCGACCUCGAU
rnacentral:rRNA from 1 species